UACGUAGGGGCCGAGCGUUGUCCGGAGUUAUUGGGCGUAAAGCGCGCGCAGGCGGCUUCGCGCGCCCGACGUGAAAAGCCCCCCGGCUUAACCGGGGGAGAGUCGUUGGGGACGGCGGGGCUUGAGGGCGGGAGAGGUCGGUGGAAUUCCCGGUGUAGUGGUGAAAUGCGUAGAGAUCGGCAGGAACACCCAGGGGGAAACCAGUCG
rnacentral:rRNA from 1 species